rnacentral:rRNA from 1 species
AUUGAACGCUGGCGGCAGGCCUAACACAUGCAAGUCGAGCGCGAAAGUUCUUCGGAAUGAGUAAAGCGGCGGACGGGUGAGUAAUACAUGGGAAUCUGCCUGGUAGUGGGGGACAACGUUUCGAAAGGAACGCUAAUACCGCAUACGUCCUACGGGAGAAAGCAGGGGAUCUUCGGACCUUGCGCUAAUAGAUGAGCCUA